GGCGACAGAAGACCUGGCUGAGUCAACCAAGGGAAACACAAAUUAGUCUCAUUCCUUAGUUCCAGUCCUUCCUUGAAUUUACCUGGUAACUUUACUCCGGUUUCUCCCUGCCUCACACGGGGUGAAGGCCAAGCCAGGACAAACGUGAGCUAAGUGUAGAGCCUCUGCUAAUGUUUCUCCAACAGCUUGUGACCACCCCGGUUCUUAUUAUCAUUUCUCAACAGGAAGGUAGCUGAGAGAAGAGAAGGAAGCUGGUAAAAUCUCCCUCAAUGAAUUGUCAACUUUGGAAUACAGUGAUGCCCUUCAGAUCUGGCUGGUUUGCAAAGCAAACCAGUAUGGAGAACAAAAAAUUUGGUGAAGUAGGUAGAGAUAUGGGGCAAAGUCAAACUACUUGGGAUGUGACUUCACAAUUUCAGUUGUGAACACCACCUAAAACACUCAGAGGCCGCUGCAGUAUCCGCAGAAUACUGAAUUACACCGUGCCACUGAGAGCUGUAAUCAUUCCUACAGUAGCAAUGCAUGGUUUUCAGAAAGUUACAGACCCUGA
rnacentral:lncRNA from 1 species